UACCUUUCCCGGAGUUGGCUCGCUUCUUUGGUACAACUUCUGCAGGAACAGAUGAGGAGCAGAUAUACGAUGGAUAUCCUGAGGAAGUUCAACAAUGGCAAAGACGAUUUGCUGCUGCAUCGAAACAUCCAUGACACUUUGAUGGGUUGACUUCCUGCAAGAACCCCUCGCAAUGUGAUGUCACUUCCU